CUGAGUUGUCGACACGAGCUGUUGCUGGUCCUCAAACGGGGACAUGUGCACGCUCUGUUCACACAUCCACUCACACCUGUGCACCCUCUGUAGUUCUAUGGUAUGGCGGACAACACGGUCCUCCUCCUGUAGUUCUGCGUUUUUACACCUACACUGUAGCAAAGUCUUAUGGAAUGUGCGCCGCGUUUAACGCAAUGCAAUA
rnacentral:misc_RNA from 1 species